UACAGAGACCUCAAGCGUUAUCCGGAAUCAUUGGGCGUAAAGCGUACCGAUAGGUGGUUUUACAAGUCAGAAGUGAAAUCUCAAGGCUCAACUUUGAGACUGUCUUUGAAACUGUAAAACUAGAGGAGCAAAGAGGAAGCUGGAACGAACGGUGUAGUAGUGAAAUGCGUUGAUAUCGUUCGGAACACCAAUAGCGUAGGCAGGCUUCUGGGUGCUACCUGACACUGCUAGGACGAAAGCGUGGGGAGCGAAUGGG
rnacentral:rRNA from 1 species